UGGCAGUACAGUGUUUAUACUCUACUAGGAACAUGUUAUAAAGAGUGUGUGCACUGCAUGGAGAGAGGGGAUCUGGCAGUACAGUGUUUAUACUUUACUAGGAACAUGUUAUAAAGAGUGUGUGCACUGCAUGGAGAGAGGGGAUCUGGCAGUACAGUGUUUAUACUCUACUAGGAACAUGUUAUAAAGAGUGUGUGCACUGCAUGGAGAGAGGGGAUCUGGCAGUACAGUGUUUAUACUCUACUAGGAACAUGUUAUAAAGAGUGUGUGCACUGCAUGGAGAGAGGGGAUCUGGCAGUACAGUGUUUAUACUCUACUCAUCACGAACGUGUUUGUGUGCAGUGUGUUACCAUCUCACACAAACACAGCAGAGCAGAAGAAACAGCGACCUAUUUUUCAUUACCCAUCGUAAGGUGGGACUCUUCUUACCUCACCUAGUCGUCACCUGACUUCUUUCAGCCUAUCAGGGAUUCUCAACUGUUUGACAACACAGAAGUUUCUUUUUUAAACCAAUUGUGAUUUUUCAGCUCUGGUAUUUGCUCAUGUUGACGAUGAUAUUGUUCACUGCUAAAGCUUUUCUUUCCAACGAGGGGUGAUGCUUUGUUAUUAACCUGGUCUGGAAGAUAGAACUGUCCACUGCAAGGUUUCUGCAGAUUUGGGUAUUAUAUAAAAAUCAUGGUUUGAUAUAUUAUAGUUUAAUAUGUUUUUUUUCUUGGUGGGUGGGAUUUGGGAGUGGGCGGGGUUUCUCUAGGUUGUGUUUGGGAAGAGCUAAUCGGUGAGGGAAAAAAAAAUAUCUACAGAAAAAACAGACUACUAUACUAUUUGUAAAGCAGAACUUGCCACUUUGCAUGAUGUGCUCAUAAUGUAUACUGUUUUUUUGUAGCAAACGUACAUGAAACCGAGAUGUGUUUCUGGCUGUGGGGGUAGGGGAUACUACAUUUGAACCUUUAUUUUACUAGGCACGUCAGUUUUAAGAACAAAUUCUUAUUCACAAUGACGUUCUACAUGGUGUUUUCCAUUCCCUCUGGCGUAUCAUUUGUAUUGCAGCAUUAUACAACUGGGCAUCCCGUGCACUGUGAUCCUGCCUAUAGCAGGCUAUGGAAGGCAUUGAUUCAAGGCAAUAUUCACAUGCAGGGUCGGCCCCAUUCAGUUCUGUUGUCAUUGGGUUAUUUAAAUUGAAUAAAGUAUAUAAAAUAAAACCUAGCUAGAAAUAUAUAUAUAUAUUUUUUUUAGGAAGAAAUAAAUAAACUAGGAAUAACUUCUUUGGACAAUAUAAUAAUGAUUAUGAGUAAACCAUCUUUAAAUUGACUAAAAUAAUGUUUCAGUUCAUCCCUUAUCCACCAUUUUGUUUGAAUCCGGGCGUCUCGGGAUGGUUUCCCCCUGUAUGACUGUAUUGAUAUACCAUUUCCACAAUAUUUGUGGACUACCUGAUAAUUAACUUAUCAUUUUUUGUGUUCCUAAAUAAAUAUCGUAUGUUGACCUUCAA
ensembl:lncRNA